rnacentral:rRNA from 1 species
UACGUAGGGACCAAGCGUUGUUCGGAUUUACUGGGCGUAAAGGGCGCGUAGGCGGCGUGGUAAGUCACUUGUGAAAUCUCUGAGCUUAACUCAGAACGGCCAAGUGAUACUGCUGUGCUAGAGUGCGGAAGGGGCAAUCGGAAUUCUUGGUGUAGCGGUGAAAUGCGUAGAUAUCAAGAGGAACACCUGAGGUGAAGACGGGUUGCUGGGCUGACACUGACGCUGAGGCGCGAAAGCCAGGGGAGCAAACGGG